AAGUCGUAACAAGGUUUCCGUAGGUGAACCUGCGGAAGGAUGCUUGGAGAAACAUUGCCUAUAGAACUACCGCUCGAUUGUGACUGUUCCAAUGUUCGCACGUAGCCAGAGGUCUCUGAAUCACUACAACUUUCCGGGCUAUGAUUUAUCAGAGAUUGCGAACUACGCGGGUUACAAGAGCAGGAUGAAGGUUCACGGGGGGGGUUUUAACGUUUGGAUACGUGUUAAUGAGUCAGUGUUGGAAAGUGUCAUUGAUUGUGCAAGGAUAGCGCUUCUACGAUUCCUGUAGACCGUACACUCGGGCAGGAGCUUUGCCAAAGGGUCCCCAUGCCCCCUAAUAACCCCACAGUUUAAUGUGAAGCUCAAUGUAAUACAUUGGGUAAAAAAACCGAACAACUGUUAACAAUGGAUAUCUUGGUUCUC
rnacentral:misc_RNA from 1 species